rnacentral:rRNA from 1 species
ACGAACGCUGGCGGCAUGCCUAACACAUGCAGGUCGAACGAAGGCUUCGGCCUUAGUGGCGCACGGGUGCGUAACGCGUGGGAAUCUGCCCUUUGGUUCGGAAUAACAGCUGGAAACGGCUGCUAAUACCGGAUGAUGACGAAAGUCCAAAGAUUUAUCGCCAGAGGAUGAGCCCGCGUUGGAUUAGGUAGUUGGUGGGGUAAAGGCCUACCAAGCCGACGAUCCAUAGCUGGUCUGAGAGGAUGAUCAGCCACACUGGGACUGAGACACGGCCCAGACUCCUACGGGAGGCAGCAGUGGGGAAUAUUGGACAAUGGGCGCAAGCCUGAUCCAGCAAUGCCGCGUGAGUGAUGAAGGCCCUAGGGUUGUAAAGCUCUUUUACCCGGGAAGAUAAUGACUGUACCGGGAGAAUAAGCCCCGGCUAACUCCGUG